rnacentral:tRNA from 2 species
GCGGAUUUAGCUCAGUUGGGAGAGCGCCAGACUGAAGAAUCUGGAGGUCCUGUGUUCGAUCCACAGAAUUCGCA